AAAUCUCUGCCUUUUUGGCUGAGAUCAUGUGUAGUAUCUGUUCUUAUCAGUUUAAUAUCUGAGACGUACCCUGUUUGAGGACCAUAUAGUAAAUGGAUUUUUGGAAAUGGGAGAUGGAAAAAGUGUUAGCUCUGUCCACUCCAUGCUUUGACCUGGUAUUGCUUGGAUCUCUGUAUAUUAAUCACUCUCA